rnacentral:lncRNA from 1 species
ACCAUUGGAAAGGCCCCAGGAGAUAGAAUACAGGGCCCAAGUAAUGAAGAACAGAGAAAGUCAGCCUCCCAGCAGAACAAUGAAUGAAGGUCCAUCUAUCUUGGUCAUCAAGCUGAGGGUUCUGAAGCCUGGAGCUGUUGGGACCUCUCCUCUAUAGCUAUUAGAUGUGUCAGGACCAAGUUGUCCCCAACUUUCAGGAAAUCCAUAGCCCUGUCUCCAUCCCUUACCCCGCCAGUGUUUUACCACCUACCCAAGAAAGCAGGUCCUCUGGCCUCACACGACCUCCCAAUUUGACCACCAGGAGUAUCCCGGGAGUCAUCUUGGCAGCAGUGCCCCCCACACACACACACACCAAUGAGAGCUACCUUGUCCGCCCAAUAGAAUGGGAUGGGAGAAGACCAACAGCUGCCCAAAUGGGCCUCCGAGCCUCCUUUCCAGAUGUAAGGCCAGAUACAAAUGCUCCCCCCUCAGGGGAAAGGUGGAGGGAUGGUCAGAGCUUGUGGUACAGUGAUCUGGGGCCGGUUCCUCCUGACUCUCAUUCUACCACCCAAAAAGUCAAUGUAGGCCUACGAAAUGGCCAGGUGAUGGGCUAGGUUCUUAUCUUUAAUUUCUUCCUCUGUAGCAAUCCAGGACUUUGGAACCCUGGUCUCACUCACCCCAAAUACACACAUUGCUGAUCAUGGGUUGUGGAUGCGGGGGACCCAUACAGAGGAGGUUCUUUUCACAGGGGGACUCAUAGACGGUCCUUCAAGUGAAUGCUUGACCUGAGGAAUGCAGCCACGUUGGAAGCACCAAGAGAGGGCUAAGGUCAGUGGGAACAGGGCCCCACGAGCCCCGCAUGUGUCCUAGCUACAUUUUUCCAUUCCCUGAAAACCCCGAGAUGACAAAUUUAACAUGGAAAGAGCCAUUAGUGUCCGCCUGGCCCUAUGUUUCCCAGAAUUCCAGUGGGAAACAUCUGAAAACGGCUCUCCCGUUCUGCGGAACAGCACAGGGAAGGCUUUGUUUUAGAGUCAUUAGAUCAGGUGUUUUCAGAAUUAGACCCCACCUGUACUGUGUUCUAACACUGAGGGUGACGGCACCUGAUUCAGAGUGGGGUGUGUGUGUGUGUGUGUGUGUGUGUGUGUGUGUGUGUGUGUGUGUGUGUGAAAAUACUGUACAUUAAUGAUUAUUGUUACUGCAGACAAAAAAAAAAAAAAAAA